rnacentral:rRNA from 1 species
UAGUACGGCGAGUGAAGCGGGAAGAGCUCAAAUUUGUAAUCUGGCACUUUCAGUGUCCGAGUUGUAAUCUCGAGAAGUGUUUUCCGCGCCGGACCGCAUACAAGUCUGUUGGAAUACAGCGUCACAGUGGUGAGAACCCCGUAACUGAUGCGGAUGCCCGGUGCUUUGUGAUACACUUUCGAAGAGUCGAGUUGUUUGGGAAUGCAGCUCAAAUUGGGUGGUAAAUUCCAUCUAAAGCUAAAUAUUGGCGAGAGACCGAUAGCGAACAAGUACCGUGAGGGAAAGAUGAAAAGCACUUUGGAAAGAGAGUUAACAGUACGUGAAAUUGUUGGAAGGGAAACGCUUGAAGUCAGACUUGCUAUUUGGAGUUCAACCCAUGGUGUAUUCUUCAAUUUGCAGGCCAGCAUCAGUUUCUGGGGGUGGAAAAUCGUAGUUUGAAUGUAGCAGUUUCGGCUGUGUUAUAGCUUUCUACUGGAUUCAUCUUCGGGGACUGAGGAACGCAGUGCGCUUUUAGCAAGGCUCUCGAGCUUUACGCACUUAGGAUGCUGGUGGAAUGGCUUUAAACGACCCGCUGA